rnacentral:rRNA from 1 species
UACGUAGGGGGCAAGCGUUGUCCGGAUUUAUUGGGCGUAAAGAGCGUGUAGGCGGCCAGAUAGGUCCGUUGUGAAAACUCGAGGCUCAACCUCGAGACGCCGAUGGAAACCAUCUGGCUAGAGUCCGGAAGAGGAGAGUGGAAUUCCCGGUGUAGCGGUGAAAUGCGCAGAUAUCGGGAAGAACACCCGUGGCUAAGGCGGCUCUCUAGUACGGUACUGACGCUGAGACGCGAAAAGCGUGGGGAGCGAACAGG